CGCAGGUGUCCUAAGAUGAG
rnacentral:snRNA from 1 species